AGAUGCAGAUCUGGCUCCUGGGGAUUCAUCCCGUGGGUGUCUGUGACUGUGGCCCUGCUGACAUUCAGAUUCUUGAAUCCGGGCUGGCAUCCUGAUCAACCAUGGCAGACAGGCUGCAGUAGAAGUGUUGUGUGACUCUAGAGCUAAGACCCCCAAGGCCUUGCAAGCUCUGCCUUAUAACCAGGGACCUGUGGGAGGAAGCCUGAGAUAGCCGUGUGGAAAAGACUG
rnacentral:lncRNA from 1 species